ensembl:snRNA U6 U6 spliceosomal RNA
GUGCUUGCUUUGGCUGCACAUAUUCCAAAAUUGGAAUGAUACAGAGAAGAUUAGCAUGACUCCUGCACAAGGAUGAAAUGCAAAUUUGUCAAGCAUUCCAUAUUUUU